UACGGGGGGAGCAAGCGUUGUUCGGAUUUACUGGGCGUAAAGGGCGCGUAGGCGGCGUGACAAGUCACUUGUGAAAUCUCCGGGCUUAACCCGGAAAGGUCAGCCGAUACUGCGGGGCUAGAGUGCAGAAGGGGCAACUGGAAUUCUCGGUGUAGCGGUGAAAUGCGUAGAUAUCGAGAGGAACACCUGCGGCGAAGGCGGGUUGCUGGGCUGACACUGACGCUGAUGCGCGAAAGCUAGGGGAGCGAACGGG
rnacentral:rRNA from 1 species